UGGUGAACUAUGCCUGAGCGGG
rnacentral:siRNA from 1 species